rnacentral:rRNA from 1 species
CGGCCAGAGUACUACGAGCCACAGCUUAAAACUCAAAGAACUUGGCGGUGCUCUACACCCACCUAGAGGAGCCUGUUCUGUAAUCGAUACUCCCCGAUAAACCUCACCACCUCUGGCCAAUACAGCCUAUAUACCACCGUCCUCUGCCUAUCUUCAAAAGAAUUAUAAUAAGCAUAACAAUUUAAAAUAAAAAAGCCAGGUCAAGGUGUAGCACAUGAGGCGGAAAGAAAUGGGCUACAUUUUCUCCAUUAGAAAACACGUAAAGUCCUAUGAAAAAAAAACAAAAGGAGGAUUUAGAAGUAAAAAGAAAUAAGAAUGUUCUUUUUAAACCAGGCAUAAAGCACGC